rnacentral:rRNA from 1 species
UACAGGGGGUGCAAACGUUGCUCGGAAUCAUUGGGCGUAAAGCGCACGUAGGCGGUUCGUUAUGUCGGAUGUGAAGCCCUUGGCUUAACCGAGGAAGUGCAUCCGAAACUGGCGAGCUAGAGUACUAAAGAGGAUCGCGGAAUUCCCGGUGUAGAGGUGAAAUUCGUAGAUAUCGGGAGGAACACCGGUGGCGAAGGCGGCGAUCUGGGUAGAUACUGACGCUGAGGUGCGAAAGCGUGGGGAGCAAACAG